UGGACAGAUUAUUGUAUUCGACUGUAUUCACGGCAUGAAACAGGGGAUUACACUGUUCUUAAACGGAAAGUGAAUCAAUUAACAUAAUAGACUCCU
rfam:Nicotiana sylvestris Nsyl_contig63141, whole genome shotgun sequence.